rnacentral:rRNA from 1 species
UGGGGAAUAUUGGACAAUGGGCGCAAGCCUGAUCCAGCAAUGCCGCGUGUGUGAAGAAGGCCUUCGGGUUGUAAAGCACUUUCAGUAGGGAGGAAGGACUUAAGGCUAAUACCUUUAAGUAUUGACGUUACCUACAGAAGAAGCACCGGCUAACUCUGUGCCAGCAGCCGCGGUAAUACAGAGGGUGCGAGCGUUAAUCGGAAUUACUGGGCGUAAAGCGUGCGUAGGUGGUUUAGAAAGUCAGAUGUGAAAUCCCCGGGCUCAACCUGGGAACUGCAGUUGAAACUAUUAAGCUAGAGUGCGGUAGAGGGAAGUGGAAUUUCCGGUGUAGCGGUGAAAUGCGUAGAUAUCGGAAGGAACAUCAGUGGCGAAGGCGACUUCCUGGACCAUAACUGACACUGAGGCACGAAAGCGUGGGGAGCAAACAGGAUUAGAUACCCCCGUAGUCC